CAAGUCUCCAUUGUUAACACUACAUUUAGUAUGGCCUCCUUACGAGUUUGUUCCUCAACGACUUGUUUUAGAGACAAUCCCAGUAGGGAGUUUAGAAUAUGUGUGCUCCUGGCACAAGCAGCUAUUUUGGUUUUCCAGUUCACAUCAGGAAAAUGAAAGUCACCCAUGAUGAAAGCCAAAAAGAAAAAUGAAGAGAAGUUAUUUCCUAUUUUUACUAGUAGAUUAUCUAACUCUUCUAUUUGUCCUCGGGGUCUAUAAAUCACACUUACACGAGUUACUGUGUGAUUACCAAAUUCUAACGUAACCCAAACUGACUCUAUGUGAUAUAAUUUGAGAGAACUGCCUGAUAGCCCAAGCAGAAAGUCCAGAAAAUGUAAUCUGCAAACCCUAUAUUUGACCCUGUAACUUUCCAAAA